AACGAACGCUGGCGGCAUGCCUAACACAUGCAAGUCGAACGAAACCUUCGGGCUUAGUGGCGCAGGGGUGGUUACCGCGUGGUAACCUGCCCUUAGGUUCGGAAUAACUCCCUGUGAGGGGUGCUCAUACCGGUUAAUCUCUUCGCACCAAAGAUUUAUCGCCUUGGGAUGGGCCCGCGUUGGAUUAGCCAGUUGGUAGGGUAAAAGCAUCUCAAGGCGAGGAUCCAUAGCUGGUCUGAGAGGAGGAUCAGCCAGAAUGGAACUGAGACACGGCCCAGACUCGUACGGGAGGGAGGAGUAGAGAAUAUUGGACAAGGGGCGAAAGCGUGAUCAAGCAAUGCGGGGGAAGUGAUGAAGGGCGUAGGGUUGUAAAGCUGUUUUAGCCGGGAUGAUAAUGACAGUACCGGGAGAAUAAGCACCGGCUAACUCCGUG
rnacentral:rRNA from 1 species